rnacentral:rRNA from 1 species
GAUGAACGCUGGCGGCGUGCCUAAUACAUGCAAGUCGAGCGAACAGACGAGGAGCUUGCUCCUCUGACGUUAGCGGCGGACGUGUGAGUAACACGUGGAUACUCUACCUAUACGACUGGGAUAACUUCGGGACACCGGCUCUUAUACCGGAUAAUAUAUUGAACCGUAUGGUUCACUAGUGAAAGACGGUUUUGCUGUCACUUAUAGAUGGUUCCGCGCGGCAUUAGCUAGUUGGUAAGGUAACGGCUUACCAAGGCAACGAUUCGUAGCCGACCUGAGAGGGUGAUCGGCCACACUGGAACUGAGACACGGUCCAGACUCCUACGGGAGGCAGCAGUAGGGAAUCUUCCGCAAUGGGCGAAAGCCUGACGGAGCAACGCCGCGUGAGUGAUGAAGGUCUUCGGAUCGUAAAACUCUGUUAUUAGGGAAGAACAAAUGUGUAAGUAACUAUGCACGUCUUGACGGUACCUAAUCAGAAAGCCACGGCUAACUACGUG